rnacentral:rRNA from 1 species
GAUGAACGCUGGCGGCGUGCCUAACACAUGCAAGUCGAACGAGGUCCAAGGGAGCUUGCUCCCUGAAGACCUAGUGGCGAACGGGUGAGUAACACGUGAGGAACCUGCCCCGGACUCCGGGAUAACCCGAGGAAACUCGAGCUAAUACCGGAUGCCCUCAUCGGAUCGCAUGGUCUGAUGAGGAAAGUUUUUCGGUCCGGGAGGGCCUCGCGGCCUAUCAGCUAGUUGGUGGGGUAACGGCUCACCAGGGCUACGACGGGUAGCUGGUUUGAGAGAACGAUCAGCCACACUGGGACUGAGACACGGCCCAGACUCCUACGGGAGGCAGCAGUGGGGAAUCUUGCGCAAUGGGCGAAAGCCUGACGCAGCAACGCCGCGUGCGGGAUGACGGCCUUCGGGUUGUAAACCGCUUUCAGCAGGGACGAAGAUGACGGUACCUGCAGAAGAAGCUCCGGCUAACUACGUGCCAGCCGCCGCGGUAAGAC